rnacentral:rRNA from 1 species
GAUGAACGCUGGCGGCGUGCCUAAUACAUGCAAGUCGAGCGAACAGACGAGGAGCUUGCUCCUUCGACGUUAGCGGCGGACGGGUGAGUAACACGUAGGUAACCUACCUAUAAGACUGGGAUAACUUCGGGAAACCGGAGCUAAUACCGGAUAAUAUUUCGAACCGCAUGGUUCGAUAGUGAAAGAUGGCUUUGCUAUCACUUAUAGAUGGACCUGCGCCGUAUUAGCUAGUUGGUAAGGUAACGGCUUACCAAGGGAACGAUGCGUAGCCGAGCUGAGAGGGUGAUCGGGCACGCUGGAACUGAGACACGGUCCAGGCUCCUACGGGAGGCAGCAGUAGGGAAUCUUCCGCAAUGGGCGAAAGCCUGACGGAGCAACGCCGCGUGAGUGAUGAAGGUCUUCGGAUCGUAAAACUCUGUUAUUAGGGAAGAACAAACGUGUAAGUAACUGUGCACGUCUUGACGGUACCUAAACAGAAAGCCACGGCUAACUACGG